rnacentral:misc_RNA from 1 species
UCCGGUUUGGCACCGGCAGUCCUCCCAGAGUCCCCGCCAUGACGCGCUGGCAACUGGGAGCGGGGGUUGCGCUCGUUGCGGGACUUAACCCAACAUCUCACGACACGAGCUGACGACGGCCAUGCAACACCUGUGUAGGGCCCUUGCGGACACCACAUCUCUGCGGCUUUUCCCUACAUGUCAAGCCCAGGUAAGGUUCUUCGCGUUGCCUCGAAUUAAGCAACAUGCUCCGCCGCUUGUGCGGGCCCCCGUCAAUUUCUUUGAGUUUUAACCUUGCGGCCGUACUCCCCAGGCGGAUAACUUAAUGCGUUAGCUGCGCCACCAAAAGCCCAUGGCCCCUGACAGCUAGUUAUCAUCGUUUACGGCGUGGACUAC